rnacentral:rRNA from 1 species
AGUCGAGCGAGAAAGGUUUUCGGACUGAGUAAAGCGGCGGACGGGUGAGUAACGCGUAGGAAUCUACCCAGUAGUGGGGGACAACUUAGGGAAACUUAAGCUAAUACCGCAUACGCCCUGAGGGGGAAAGCGGGGGAUCUUCGGACCUCGCGCUAUUGGAAGAGCCUGCGUUAGAUUAGCUAGUUGGUGGGGUAAAGGCUCACCAAGGCGACGAUCUAUAGCUGGUCUGAGAGGAUGAUCAGCCACACUGGGACUGAGACACGGCCCAGACUCCUACGGGAGGCAGCAGUGGGGAAUAUUGCGCAAUGGGCGAAAGCCUGACGCAGCCAUGCCGCGUGUGUGAAGAAGGCCUUCGGGUUGUAAAGCACUUUCAAUUGGGAGGAAGGGUUUAACGUUAAUAGCGUUGAAUCUUGACGUUACCUUUAGAAGAAGCACCGGCUAACUCCGUGCCAGCAGCCGCGGUAAUACGGAGGGUGCGAGCGUUAAUCGGAAUUACUGGGCGUAAAGCGCGCGUAGGCGGUUUGUUAAGUCGGAUGUGAAAUCCCCGGGCUCAACCUGGGAACUGCACCCGAUACUGGCCGACUUGAGUGCGAGAGAGGGAGGUAGAAUUCCAUGUGUAGCGGUGAAAUGCGUAGAUAUAUGGAGGAAUACCGGUGGCGAAGGCGGCCUCCUGGCUCGACACUGACGCUGAGGUGCGAAAGCGUGGGUAGCAAACAGGAUUAGAUACCCUGGUAGAAGGGC